UGCGACCCCAGGUCACCCGUACUACCCGCUGAGUUUAAGCAUAUCAAUAAGCAGAGGAAAAGAAACUUACAAUGAUUCCCAUAGUAACGGCAAGCCAACAGGAAACAUCCCAUCCUUAGAAUCGGGCAGCUCCGUCGUCCAAAUUGUAGUCUAGAGAAGCGUCUUCAGCGGCAGACUGAGCCCAAGUCCCUUGGAAGGGGGCACUAGAGAUGGUGAGAGCCCCAUUGUACUCGGGCCCUGUUGCACCAUGAGGCAUUUUUGUCGAGUCAAGUUAUUUGGGAAUGCAGCCCAAAUCGGGCAAUGAAUUCCUUCCAAGGUUAAAUACGGGCGAGAGACCGAUAGCGAACAAGUAUCGCUAGGGAAAGAUGAAAAGGACUUUGAAAAGAGAGUCAAAUAGUGCUUAAAAUUGUCGGGAGAGAAGAAGAUGGGGGUCGGCGAUGCACCCCGAUCGAAUGUGGAACGGUGUUGAGCUGGUCCGCCGAUCGACUCGGGGCAUGGACCAACGUGGAUUAUGGGGGGAGGCCUAAGCCCAAGAUUUUGAUACGCUCGUGCAACGCUAUCUUCUUGAUUGUGGUAGGAAGCAUGCGCCUCUAGCGUUCUUUGGCAUCUGCACGCUUCGGACGCUGGCUUGUGAGCUCCCCAUUCGACCCGUCUUGAAACACAGACCAAGGAGUCUCACAUGUAUGCGAGUCAACGGACGAGUAAACCCUUAAGGCGUAAGGAAGCUGAUUGGUGGAUUCCUCUGAGGGGUGCACCGCCGACCGACCUUGAUCUUCUGUGAAGGGUUCGACUGUUGGCAUACCUGUUGUGACCCGACAAAUGGUGAACUAUGCCUGAGCGGACUGAAGCCAGAGGAAUAUCUGGUGGAGGCCCGCGGCGAUACUGACGUGAAAAUCAUUCGUCUGACUUGGGAAUAGGGGCGAAAGACUAAUCGAAUCGUCUAGUUGUUGGUUCCCUUCGAAGUAUCCCUCAGGAUAGCUGGAGCUCGCGUGCGAGUUCUAUAGGUUAAAGCUAAUGAUUAGAGGCAUCAGGGGUGCACCGCCCUCAACUUAUUCUCAAACUUUAAAUAGGUAGGACGAUAUGGCUGCUUUGUUGAGCCGCAGCACGAAUGCAAGAGCUCCAAGUGGGCCAUUUUUGGCAAGCGAAACUGGUGAUCCGGGAUGAAUCAGAAGCUGGGUUACGGUGCCAAACUGCGAGCUAACCUAGAUCCCACAAAGGGUGUUGGUCGAGUAAGACAGUAGGACAGUGGUCAUGGAUGUCGAAAUCUGCUAAGGAGUGUGUAACAACUCACAUGCAGAAUCAACUAGCCCCGAAAUUUGAUGGCGCUACACCCGGCCGUUGGGGCAAGUGCCAGGCCCCGAUGAGCAUGGGCGGAGCAGCCGUCGGUGCAGAUCUUGGUGGUAGUAGCAUAUAUUCAAAUGAUAACAUUGAAGGCCGAAGAGGGAAAGGUUCCAUGUGAAUGACACUUGCACAUGGGUAAGUCGAUCCUAAGGGUCAGGGGAACCCCGACAGAUAGCGUGUUUUGUGCGUACUCCGAAAGGGAAUCGGGUUACAAUUCCUGAACCGAGACGUGAUGGUUGACGGCAUCGUUAGGAAUUCUGGAUAUGUCAACGGGGGCCUCGGGAAGAGUUAUAUUUUUUGUUUAAUAGUCUGCCCACCAUGGAAACGACUCAGUCGGAGGUAGGGUCCAGCGGCUGAAGGAACAAUGCACGUCGCGUGGUGUCCGGUGCGCCCCCGGCGGCCCUUCAAAAUCUAGAGGACCGAGUACCAUCCAUGCCCUACCGUACUCAUAACUGCAUCAGGUCUCCAAGGUGAAUAGCCUCUGGUCAAUGGAACAAUGUAGGCAAAGGAAGUCGGAAAAAUGGAUCUGUAACUUCGGGAAAAAGAUUGGCUCUAAGGGCUAGGCACGGGGGUCCCAAUCCCGAACCCGUCGGCUGUUGGUGGAUUGCUCGAGAUGCUCCCAUGGCGAGAGCAGGUUGUCACAUGCCGGCCGAGGGAUGGACUAGGAACGGUUCCUUCGAGUUCCUUCCCCGGGGAUUCCGACAGUUUAGUUAAAACAAAUCAUUGCGAUGGUCCUUGCGGAUGUUUAGGCAAUGCGAUUUUUGCCUAGUGCUCUGAAUGUCAAAGUUAAGAAAUUCAACCAAGCGCGGUUAAACGGCAGGAGUAAUUAUGACUCUCUUAAGGUAGCCAAAUGCCUCGUCAUCUAAUUAGUGAUGCACAUGAAUGGAUUAAUGAGAUCCACACUCUCCCUAUCUACUAUUCAGCGAAACCACAGCUAAGGGAACGGGCUUGGCAGAAUCGGCAGAGAAAGAAGACCAUGUUAUAGCCUGUUUGGCCAAAAUUUGAGUUGUUUGGCCAAGCUUUAGAUGGAAAAAAAGUGCUCUUGAGGAGAAGCAGAAGCAGUUUUUGAGAAGCAGAAAAAAGUAGCUUCUUUCUAAAAGCACUUUUCUGAAAAGUACUUUUGAGAAAAAUACACUUAGAAGCAGUUUUGAAAAGCUUGGCGAAACACUAAUUACUGCUCAAAAGUGCUUUUCAAAUUAAUUAGCCAAACACAAACUGCUUCUCACCAAAAGCACUUUUUGAAAAGUACUUUUAAGAAAAACAUUUCUCAAAAUAAGCUAAUUUUAGAAACUUGGCCAAACAGGCUAUUAAGCUUGACUCUAGUCCGACUUUGAGAAAUGAUUUGAGAAGUGUAAUAUAAGUGGGAGCCGAAAGGAAGAAGUGAAAUACCACUGAUUUAAACGUUAUUUUACUUAUUCCGUGAAUCGAAAGUGGGACACUGCCCCUCUUUUUGGUCCCAAGGCUUGCUUGCAGGCUGAUCUGGGCGGAAGACAUUGUCAGGUGGCGAGCUUGGCUAGGGCAGCACAUCUUUUAAAAGAUAAUGCAUGUGUCCUAUUAUGAGCUCAAAGAUAACAGAAAUCUCAUGUGGAACAGAUGGGUAAAAGCUCAUUUGAUUAUGAUUUCCUGUACGUAUACGAACCAUGAAAGUGUGGCCUAACGAUCCUUUAGACCUUCGAAAUUCGAAACUAGAGCUGUUAGAAAACUUACCACAGGGAUAACUGGCUUGUGGCAGCCAAGCGUUCACAGCAACGUUACUUUUUGAUCCUUUGAUGUUGGCUUUUCCUAUAAUUGUGAAACAGAAUUCAUCAAGAGUUGGAUUGUUCAUCCACCAAUAGGGAACGUGAGUUAGGUUUAGACCAUCAUGAGAUAGGUUAGUUUUACCCUACUAAUGACAGUGUCGCAAUAGUAAUUCAACCUAGUAUAAGAGAAACUGUUGAUUCGCACAAUUGGUCAUCGCGUUUGGUUGAAAAGCCAGUGGAGCGAAGCUACCAUGCACUGGAUUAUGACUAAAUGCCUCUAAGUCAGAAUUCGGGCUAGAAGCAACGCAUGCGCCCGCCGUCUGCUUGCCGACCCACAGUAGGGCCUUUGGCCCCCAAGGGCACGCGUCUUUGGCUAAGUCAUCGCGACAGAAGAGCCGCAGUGGCCGCCUUAAAGUACAAUUUCCAUCGAGCGGCAAGUAGAAUCCUUUGCAGAUGACUUAGAUACGCGAUGGGGUAUUGUAAGUGGCAGAGUGGCCCUGCUUCCACGAUCCACUAAGAUUCAGCCCUUUGUCGCUAUGAUUCGU
rnacentral:rRNA from 1 species